CAACCUGGUUGCCCAUCAGAAUUCCUUGGGAAAUUUAAAUAAUAAUUUUUGGAAAUCAUUUCAGACCCACUGAAUCAAUCGAGGCCCAGAAAGCUCUGAUGGUUCCGCAUCUUUGCAAAGCUCUGGAACCCUGAUUUGCAAAGAUUAACAAAUUAAAAGGCCACACUUCAGCUAUUAUGUCCUCUGCAAGAGGCAAUGAGCUUUUCUGCUUCCUGGAGAGUGUGGAUCCAACAAAUUUCUGAUUCUUACCGAAAGCCAAAAAGAGGUAUGAAGAAGGAGGAAAAGGAUGCAGGAAAGAAUUUAAGGGGCAAGGUGGAUGUGAUAAAGGAACG